rnacentral:rRNA from 1 species
CUUGUUCUUUAAAUAAGGACUUGUAUCAACGGCAUCACGAGGGUUCUACUGUCUCCCCUUUCUAAUCAGUGAAACUGACUUCCCCGUGAAGAGGCGGGGAUGUGACUACAAGACGAGAAGACCCCAUGGAGCUUUAAACCCACUUACAACCUCAUCUAAAUAUUACCACAUAAAUGAAAGUACUGUACAGUGGUUUUAGGUUGGGGUGACCACGGAGUAAAACCAAACCUCCAUGACGAACGGAUAAAUCAUCCUAAUCCAUGAGCUACCGCUCUAAGAAUCAAAAAAUUGACAUAUAUGAUCCGGUAACCGAUCAACGAACCAAGUUACCCUGGGGAUAACAGCGCAAUCCAUUUCAAGAGCCCCUAUCGACAAAUGGGUUUACGACCUCGAUGUUGGAUCAGGGUAUCCUAGUGGUGCAGCCGCUACUAAAGGUUUGUUUGUUCAACAAUUAAAACCCU